rnacentral:rRNA from 1 species
GGCGGACGGGUGAGUAAUGCUUGGGAAUCUGGCUUAUGGAGGGGGAUAACUACGGGAAACUGUAGCUAAUACCGCGUAGUAUCGGAAGAUGAAAGACUGGGACCGCAAGGCCAGUUGCCAUAAGAUGAGCCCAAGUGGGAUUAGGUAGUUGGUGGGGUAAAGGCCUACCAAGCCGACGAUCUCUAGCUGGUCUGAGAGGAUGACCAGCCACACUGGAACUGAGACACGGUCCAGACUCCUACGGGAGGCAGCAGUGGGGAAUAUUGCGCAAUGGGGGGAACCCUGACGCAGCCAUGCCGCGUGAAUGAAGAAGGCCUUCGGGUUGUAAAGUUCUUUCGGUGAUGAGGAAGGUGUUUGUUUUAAUAGAGCAAGCAAUUGACGUUAGUCACAGAAGAAGCACCGGCUAACUCCGUGCCAGCAGCCGCGGUAAUACGGAGGGUGCGAGCGUUAAUCGGAAUAACUGGGCGUAAAGGGCACGCAGGCGGUGACUUAAGUGAGAUGUGAAAUCCCCGAGCUUAACUUGGGAACUGCAUUUCAGACUGGGUUGCUAGAGUAUUUUAGGGAGGGGUAGAAUUCCACGUGUAGCGGUGAAAUGCGUAGAGAUGUGGAGGAAUACCGAAGGCGAAGGCAGCCCCUUGGGAAUAUACUGACGCUCAUGUGCGAAAGCGUGGGGAGCAAA